CAUAAUUACAGAUUGCGCCGUGCGUUGUACGCAACGAGCAACGAUGCUACAUUGCCCACUGGAACCUAAGAACCAUUCUAGAUUUGAGUUUUGUCUGACAUACAGCAAGAGCGGAGGAGGUGCUGAUUUUGACCGUUUCGACCCUUUCGCACGCAAUACUCAAAGGUGUCAAGCCACAGCCAUCCUCGGCCAGAAGAUCAGCUUUGUGAGCCAGAAGAAGCAUGAUGUUGUUGAUGAAUCCAUAUUCAGCGCACAAAUGAAGAGGAGUCUGGAAGAAAAAUCAAGCAGGACUGAUGAGAGGUGUAAUUCAUUAAUCUCUAAAAGAUGAAGAUAAAAAGUACCGAGCAUGAAGAAGCCUUACCUUUUGGUACCUAUGACCUAUUGCAUGAUGACAUCAUUAUUAAGGUGAUUUCCUAUCUUCUAUUAGAUUGAUAAGAAUUCUUGGGGUGAACUUUCACAAGAAUAUGAAACAAAAAAGUUGGAAAGACCUACCACCGCACUGAAGAAGCACUCGGAGGCACCUGGAAUUUUCAGAGGUUGCAGCUGCAUGAAGAGGAGUUCGACCCCACGAGUCCUGGCCAUCCAAAUGCCUACGUUGAUCUCCUUUUAACAGAUCUUCUAAUAGCUCAGCAUUGUCCCAUAGUGCUGCCUGGGGUUUAAAUAAAGAAAAUACACCAGAAAUGAAACAGUGAUAUUUAGUUGUGAUUCUCAAUGACA